GAAAAUAAUUUGAUUUUGAAUUUCAAAAAACAAAACAAUUUAAUUCUGUUUUUGUACAAAGAAAUAUGCCAAAUGAAACAGUCAAAUGCGAUUUAUACAUAUAUUCAAAUUGUUGUGGCAUGCUUCAAAGUGCAGUACCAAAUAAUACAAAACUAAACGGUGAAUGUUCCACAAGCUAAACUACAGUUUGUACCAAAAAUAAAUAAUAAUAACAAUGCUUGAGUUCAACUAAAAACCUCACAAUAAUAUAAAGAGAGCCCCACACAAAAGAGAUAAAAACAUAAACAAUUACUGUGCUAAACAAUACAAUUGUUAACUCAACUUAAAUUAAACAACUAAAACAAAAGAAACUUCAAAUAAGUCUUCACACAAAUUGCACCCCCACAGAAGAUUUUUAAGCACUUUUUACAUGCAAGCGGAUGAAAAAUGAAAAAUGGAAGCUAAAGGCGUAAUCUUAAGCAAGCGGGGGAUUAGAAGGAGAAGAGGGAGGAGACGUUGUUAUUCCAACUGCUCAACAUGCAAAGCUGAGAUACAAAUUUACUGAUCAGAGCUCAAACUCUGAUCAAAAUGAUAUACAUUAAGCUGGGUUCGGUUUAUACUCAUAUAA
rnacentral:sRNA from 1 species